rnacentral:tRNA from 1 species
GCGGGAGUAGCUCAGUUGGCAGAGCGUCAGCCUUCCAAGCUGAAUGUC